UACGGAGGAUCCAAGCGUUAUCCGGAUUUAUUGGGUUUAAAGGGUGCGUAGGCGGCCCUGUAAGUUAGAGGUGAAAGCCCGUGGCUCAACCACGGAAUUGCCUCUGAUACUGCAGGACUAGAGAGUAGUUGCUGUGGGCGGAAUGUGUAGUGUAGCGGUGAAAUGCUUAGAGAUUACACAGAACACCGAUUGCGAAGGCAGCUCACAAAGCUAUUUCUGACGCUGAGGCACGAAAGCGUGGGGAGCAAACAGGAUUAGAUACCCUGGUAGUCCACGCCGUAAACGAUGAUAGCUCGUUGCUGGCGAUACACAGUCAGUGACUUAGCGAAAGCGUUAAGCUAUCCACCUGGGGAGUACGUUCGCAAGAAUGAA
rnacentral:rRNA from 1 species